rnacentral:lncRNA from 1 species
ACUGAAUUACAACUGUACAAAACUAACUAACUAACUCUAAAAGCUAAGCAAAACAGAAACGCGUAUCAGAACCAAAAACAGAGCUUCAGAGCUUCAGAACUUAUAUCAGCUUCAGAGGUUGUGAGGUUCAGAGGUUACAUUGCUUCAGAGGCUGAAGCGCUGGUUCAGAGGUUACAUUGCUUCAGAGGCUGAAGCGCUGGUUCAGAGGUUAUAAUGCUUCAGAGCUUGAAUUACCAAUCAAACCAAUAGAU